rnacentral:rRNA from 1 species
GAUGAACGCUGGCGGCGUGCUUAAUACAUGCAAGUCGAACGAAGACAGUAGCAAUAUUGUCUGAGUGGCGAACGGGUGAGUAACGCGUUGGUGACCUGCCCCGAAGAGAGGGAUAACAGUCCGAAAGGAUUGCUAAUACCCCAUGUGGUCGUUUGGAUUAGAUGCCUUAUGACUAAACGGAUUUAUUCGCUUCGGGAGGGGCCUGCGUCCCAUCAGCUAGUUGGUAAGGUAAUGGCUUACCAAGGCGAUGACGGGUAGGGGACCUGAGAGGGUGGACCCCCACAAUGGAACUGAAACACGGUCCAUACACCUACGGGUGGCAGCAGUAGGGAAUAUUGGUUAAUCUGGGAAACCGGGAACCAGCAACGCCGCGUGCACGAUGAAGGCCUUCGGGUUGUAAAGUGCUUUUUGAAAGGAUGAGGAAGGACAGUACUUUCAGAAUAAGCUUCGGCUAACUACGUGCCAGCCGCCGCCGUAACAC